rnacentral:rRNA from 1 species
UACGGAGGAUGCGAGCGUUAUCCGGAUUUAUUGGGUUUAAAGGGUGCGCAGGCGGCACGGCAAGCCGGCGGUCAAAUCGCGAGGCUCAACCCCGCCCAGCCGUCGGAACUGCCGGGCUAGAGUGGGCGAGAAGUGCGCGGAAUGCGUGGUGUAGCGGUGAAAUGCAUAGAUAUCACGCAGAACUCCGAUUGCGAAGGCAGCGCACCGGCGCCCUACUGACGCUCAGGCACGAAAGCGUGGGUAUCGAACAGG